GGGCGCAUAGCUCAGCGGGAGAGCACCUGCCUUACAAGCAGGGGGUCGCAGGUUCGAACCCUGCUGCGCCCA
rfam:Saccharomonospora sp. LRS4.154 Saccharomonospora_sp154_contig9, whole genome shotgun sequence.